GACCAAACAUAGCUCAUACUUAAUCUCUUUAAACUACCUUAGAAUUUUCAAACAAAACAUUUAUUAUUCAACUAAAGUAUUAGGCGAUAGAAAUUUUAUUUUGACGCUAUAGAGAUAGUACCGCAAGGGAAAACUGAAAGAAAAUUAUAAGUAAAAAAUAGCAAAGCUUAAAACUUGUACCUUUUGCAUAAUGACUCAACUAGAAAACCUUGGCAAAAAGAAUUAAAGUCAAACAACCCGAAACCAGACGAGCUACCUACCAGCAGCCUACAGGGCAAAUUCAUCUAUGUGGCAAAAUAGUGAAGCGACUGAUAGGUAGAGGCGACAAACCUAUCGAGCCUGGUGAUAGCUGGUUGUCCAGAGCAGAAUUUUAGUUCUAAUUUAAAUUUACCUAAUAACAAGCAAAUUAUAAUGUAAAUUUAAAUAAUAAUCUGAAAAGGUACAGCUUUUCAGACAUAGGAUACAACCCUUAUUAGAGAAUAAACUUCUAAAUCCACACUAGUAGGCCUAAAAGCAGCCACCAACUAAGAAGACGUUAAAGCCCAACAGCACAAGAACUUAAUCCCAUAGCUAAAUUCACAUUCCUAAUAUAAAACUGGACUAUUCUAUUCUCUAAUAGAAGAAAUAAUGUUGAUAUGAGUAACAAGAAGAUUUUCUCCCUGCACAAGUGUAUAUCAAAACGAAUAACUCAUUGAUUAUUACCAAAACUAGCAUUAUUAUUAACUAAUAUCUUAACACUAAUUGUUGAACCAACACAGGAGUGCAACCAAGGGAAAGAUUAAAAGAAGUAAAAGGAACUCAGCAAACACAAACCUCGCCUGUUUACCAAAAACAUCACCUCUAGCAUAAAAAGUAUUAGAGGCCCUGCCUGCCCAGUGACUUCAGUUUAACGGCCGCGGUAUCCUGACCGUGCAAAGGUAGCAUAAUCAUUUGUUCUCUAAAUAAGGACUUGCAUGAAAGGCUCCACGAGGGUUUUACUGUCUCUUACUUCCAAUCAGUGAAAUUGACAUUCCCGUGAAGAGGCGGGAAUAAAACAAUAAGACGAGAAGACCCUAUGGAGCUUUAAUUAAUUAGCUCAUAAGACUCUUAACACUCUCUACAAGAGAUCAACAUCACCCUAGUUGAGCUAACAAUUUAGGUUGGGGUGACCUCGGAAUAAAAUUCAACCUCCGAGAAAAUUCUACCAAGACUCACAAGUCAAAGUUACAAUAUUAGAUACUGAUCCGCCAUUGGCGAUCAACGAAACAAGUUACCCUAGGGAUAACAGCGCAAUCCUAUUUAAGAGUUCAUAUCGACAAUUAGGGUUUACGACCUCGAUGUUGGAUCAGGACAUCCCAAUGGUGCAGCAGCUAUUAAUGCGUUCGUUUGUUCAACGAUUAAAGUCCUACGUGAUCUGAGUUCAGACCGGAGUAAUCCAGGUCGGUUUCUAUCUAUUAACAAGUCUCUCCUAGUACGAAAGGACCAGAGAGACAAGGCCCACUUACAAUUAAGCGCCUUAAUAAAACAGAUGAAUUAAUCUCAAUUAUACCAUAAACAUGAUUCACCUAAGAUAAAGGACC
rnacentral:rRNA from 1 species